AUUGAACGCUGGCGGCAUGCCUUACACAUGCAAGUCGAACGGCAGCACGGGUGCUUGCACCUGGUGGCGAGUGGCGAACGGGUGAGUAAUACAUCGGAACAUGUCCUGUAGUGGGGGAUAGCCCGGCGAAAGCCGGAUUAAUACCGCAUACGAUCUACGGAUGAAAGCGGGGGACCUUCGGGCCUCGCGCUAUAGGGUUGGCCGAUGGCUGAUUAGCUAGUUGGUGGGGUAAAGGCCUACCAAGGCGACGAUCAGUAGCUGGUCUGAGAGGACGACCAGCCACACUGGGACUGAGACACGGCCCAGACUCCUACGAGAGGCAGCAGUGGGGAAUUUUGGACAAUGGGCGAGAGCCUGAUCCAGCAAUGCCGCGUGUGUGAAGAAGACCUUCGGGUUGUAAAGCACUUUUGUCCGGAAAGAAAUCCUUGGCCCUAAUACGGUCGGGGGAUGACGGUACCGGAAGAAUAAGCACCGGCUAACUACGUG
rnacentral:rRNA from 1 species